rnacentral:rRNA from 1 species
AACGAACGCUGGCGGCAUGCCUAACACAUGCAAGUCGAACGAAGGCUUCGGCCUUAGUGGCGCACGGGUGCGUAACGCGUGGGAAUCUGCCCUUUGGUUCGGAAUAACAGCUGGAAACGGCUGCUAAUACCGGAUGAUGACGAAAGUCCAAAGAUUUAUCGCCAGAGGAUGAGCCCGCGUUGGAUUAGGUAGUUGGUGGGGUAAAGGCCUACCAAGCCGACGAUCCAUAGCUGGUCUGAGAGGAUGAUCAGCCACACUGGGACUGGGACACGGCCCAGACUCCUACGGGAGGCAGCAGUGGGGAAUAUUGGACAGUGGGCGCAAGCCUGAUCCAGCAAUGCCGCGUGAGUGAUGAAGGCCCUAGGGUUGUAAAGCUCUUUUACCCGGGAAGAUAAUGACUGUACCGGGAGAAUAAGCCCCGGCUAACUCCGUG